CUCAAAGGAAUUGACGGGGCCCGCACAAGCGGUGGAGCAUGUGGUUUAAUUCGACGCAACGCGAAGAACCUUACCAGGGCUUGACAUCCCCUGACCGCGUAUGAAAGUACGUUUUCACCCUCGGGUGACAGGGAGACAGGUGGUGCAUGGUUGUCGUCAGCUCGUGUCGUGAGAUGUUGGGUUAAGUCCCGCAACGAGCGCAACCCCUACGUUUAGUUGCUAACGCGUGAAGGCGAGCACUCUAGACGAACUGCCGUUGACAAAACGGAGGAAGGUGGGGAUGACGUCAAAUCAUCAUGCCCCUUAUGACCUGGGCUACACACGUGCUACAAUGGUUGGUACAACGAGUUGCGAGUCGGUGACGGCGAGCUAAUCUCUUAAAGCCAAUCUCAGUUCGGAUUGUAGGCUGCAACUCGCCUACAUGAAGUCGGAAUCGCUAGUAAUCGCGGAUCAGCACGCCCGCGGUCGAAUACGUUCCCGGGCCUU
rnacentral:rRNA from 1 species